AUCGAGUUCUCAGAUCUUCAGAGCAACGACCAAGGUAAUACGAUGUGCUCAACUGCAACACUUGUGCUUCUCGUGUCCUGCUUCGGCGCAGCGUUAAGUAGACCUUACUGGAACUCGUAUCCUAGUUAUCCUAGUUAUCCUAGUUAUCCUAGUUAUCCAGGUUCCAAUUAUGGACCGUGGGGCGGCUGGUACGGGAAUAACGUCGGUUCGCAAGGUAAUUACGUGAGCGGGCUUUGGAAUCACGUUGGAUCACAAGGGAAUAAUGUUGGCGGCGGUGGAUGGAAUAACGUGGGCUCGCAAUGGAACGGCGUGGACGGGUUAGGCAAUUACGUGGGCUCGCAAUGGAAUUCCGUGAACUAAGUACAGAUGAAAUGGAACGAAAUAAGAUCAACACACCCGAAAAUGUUUGGGUUUUUGACAAAACUAAAUAAAUACCAUUAUGCAACGAG